GUGAUGUGCAUGCGUGACCAACCAGUGAUACAUCAAGCAUGGUGGGAGCAGCAUCCAGUUCAGUCAAUCUCAGAUGAAGUUUGUCCUCCUCAGCCAGUUUCUGCCUCCUCAUCACUGUUUCAGCCGGAGGAUGCGAUGUUCUCAAGCCUGCAUGGUAUUGCCACUGGUGUGAUCAUCCUUCAACUCAUUUCUCUCAAAAUGAGCCUGCUUAUUUUAAGCAAUUUAAGGUGAGGAGAAAACAACUGAGUGAGCCAGUCUUGGGAUCCAGUAUCUCUGUCAGGAGGGCAGUGACAAGAAGAGAUGUAAGGCAAGUCUUCAGGGGAUAUAUCCAUUGACCAUAAGACAUUUGGGGUCCCCAGCCAAGAGCUUCUCCCUAGAUUAUUUCCAGCAUGACUACAGACACAGAAGAGAACUGCCUGGAGCUGGGAAGAGAAGCAGGGAGGGAGGAAGGAAGGAAGCUUACACAAAAUAAGAUUAAAUUUGCUUGGCUUUCCCUGAAAUGCCACCUAAUAUUUGGUAAAGAAGGACUUUACUUCAGCCUACCCUUCCACUGUCUUCACCUUCCUAAAGAGGAGGCAGCGUACUUUAGAAGCGCAUCCUGUAUCUUUGCAGGUCUUCACUAAAGUAGUCAGUGGAUGUAUCAGUGAGACUCAUUUUAUUGUUAAUUUAUCUUCUUGAUGCACAAUAUCAGACUCCAUUUUCAUUGACUGAAUAACCGUGGAGUCAUUAUGAAGGCAAUAAGAACUGAGUUACUAGCCUUGGAAGUGAUUACUGCUAGAUUUUUGCCUCUUAAGCCUCCAAACAGGAUGUUGCAUUAUUAUAUGCAAUUCUCUUCCCUGAUGUACUGUCUGAGCAUUGGCUAGAGUAUCAUGUUCCACUCUGAUUCAUGCAGAACACUUAAUCUCAGUGGAGCCAAAGUAAGUAUACAUGAGAUCGUAAAUGACAGUUUUCAUUGUCAUGCUCCUUUUUUUUUUUUAUUUUUUUCAAUGUGGAGCUCUCUGUCUUGAUGAAAUACUAUUUAUUGCAAACCAGGGGCCUGAUUGCUAGAUGCUACUAAGUCAUCAGAUCCUACCUAGAACCCCUACCUACCUGUUUUUUUCAGGAUAGGUGUUACAGGUCACUGAAAUCCUGUUAAAUAUGACUGGUUUCUAACAGUUGUGUAUGCCUCUCCCUCAGGCCAUGUGUGGUAGGCACAGCCACAAAUUGAGCAUCAGGGGUGUUCAUCCCCGAAGUCGACUUUUCACAGCUGGUUUGAAGCUGAGGUGUCGGUCUUUUGGCCCAGUUCUGUGAAUUACAGAAUCAUGGCUUACACGUGUAAUUUCCCUUGGAAAAUAAAUAACUGUUUUUGAAAAUACCUCAUUUCUGCACAUUCAGGUAAGAGUGUGUGGUAGCUGCCAGUCAGCCAGGGUUUCCCCUUGCUUACCACGUUUGUCAGUCUGAGCCUUGCAUGAGGCACAGCACAUAUCUGAAUGCGGCAGCACAAGCCAGCUGGCAGCAUUUUGUGCAUUGGGCUAGUGAGCAGCAGGAUUCUCUUUACUUGUGUGAUGCUCUUAUCUUUCUUGUUUCAAUGUUUAUAUUGGAGCAGUGUGCAGAGGAAUGAAGAAGAAAUGAGCUGCUCCACAGAGAUUUAUGAAGAAAUUGUCACAACUCUUAAUGCCCUUUCCUGCUCCACUGGUACAAACUGUGCCACGGUGCAGCAGAGAACUGAAUGUUUUCAAAAGCACAAGGAAACCUGGCUUUUCAGCCUCACAGAGUGCUUGCUUGGGAGGGAGGGAGAGAGAGAAAAGGAAAGCAAGGAGGAUUUCUAAGGCUGUGUCAGUACUGUACUUUAAGGAAUCAUUGAAUAAAGCACCUCACAUACAUCUUGCUCAUCCUCUGGCACUCCUAAGAAAGCAGCAGCUGCGACUGCAGUUUGUGAAGUGGCUGAUGCUGCAGGUUAAGCAGUAAGUACUUACUGGAUCCAUCCCCUCAGAUGAAGAAGUACUUGGGCAGCCUUGUGUGGAGCUGCUCAGUUUUGCCCGUGAUGAAGAAUUUCUUUUAUAUAUCAGAGCAGUGCUCUGGUGUAUUAAAUGCAGCAUGUGGGUUUUCUGAGCACGCUUUGAUCACCCUAAAUCCUCUCAAGCCCUUAUUUAGGCAUGUAUGUCCUCCUCUGUCCUCCCUGUGAGGCACACCCAGCUGGCAAUCCCACAAGGCCUCUUGAUCCUAUUCUGCAGAGAACCUGGUCUGAUAUAGCUCAAAAGAUGCUGUGUUUUGCACGGAAGAGACGGUCCAGUUGCCAGCUUCUGAUGUUCCCAGAUUGUCAUGUUGCUUUGUAUAACCAGGACGGAAGAUACACGCUUGCACAGCCUGUGCCCUAAUUAUGCAGCAGAUAGAAACUUUUCAGGGGAACUUGGAAACUGGUAUGAAUCUGAAAUGGUAACCCAAACCUAAAAUGUUCCUUUUUAUAAUCAGUCUCCUAAGUCUUCCAAGCUACCACACUGAUCCUACGGUAUUACACUAAGCUUUCAUUUCAAAUCCUUUUGGGUAACUCAGUCCAACUUCCUCCAUCUUUCUGAAGAAAAUACGUUGCGUGAUCUGCCUAGUUCUUGCCAGUAACACAAGGGGACAGCAUACACCGUAAGGCCUUCGUUUAUUGCCAUUUUCUUUUUGGCUGAAUUGUGUAAAGAGUAUGGAACCAGGGCAGCUGAAGGCCUGUAAACCAUUUACUUCCAUAUUUUGAAGGCUCAAGAAGGAUUUAAAUGGUGCGUAGAUGUUGUGCUGGCUGUGUCCACAUGUGAGGAAAUUUUAUCCACAUGGAUUAUGGUUCAUCAAGCUGUCUAGACUCCCUCUGUCACUAAAGCCUAUCCUUGCGAUGCCACAUUUGUCCUACCUUGGAGCUGCUGAACAGCCAUUGCAGUAAACAUCUUUGCCAGGGGGUGUGCACCCAGGGUCCCUAGGUUUCAAAGGAUUUUGAAGAACUAAAGGGCAUAGGGAACAAGUGUAAUAAAGCUCACUGUGAGAUCAUAUAGA